rnacentral:rRNA from 1 species
CCUACGGGCGGCAGCAGUGAGGAAUAUUGGUCAAUGGGCGCGAGCCUGAACCAGCCAAGUCGCGUGAGGGAAGACGGUCCUAUGGAUUGUAAACCUCUUUUGUCGGGGAGCAAUAUACGCCACGUGUGGCUUUCCGAGAGUACCCGAAGAAAAAGCAUCGGCUAACUCCGUGCCAGCAGCCGCGGUAAUACGGAGGAUGCGAGCGUUAUCCGGAUUUAUUGGGUUUAAAGGGUGCGCAGGCGGAAGAUCAAGUCAGCGGUAAAAUUGAGGGGCUCAACCCCUUCGAGCCGUUGAAACUGGUUUUCUUGAGUGAGCGAGAGGUAUGCGGAAUGCGUGGUGUAGCGAUGAAAUGCAUAGAUAUCACGCAGAACUCCGAUUGCGAAGGCAGCAUACCGGCGCUCAACUGACGCUGAUGCACGAAAGUGUGGGUAUCGAACAGGAUUAGAUACCCGAGUAGUC